UGGGGAAUUUUGCACAAUGGGGGAAACCCUGAUGCAGCGACGCCGCGUGAUUUAGAAGGCCUUCGGGUUGUAAAAAUCUUUUCUAUGGGAAGAAAAUGACAGUACCAUAGGAAUAAGGACCGGCUAAUUACGUGCCAGCAGCCGCGGUAAUACGUAAGGUCCGAGCGUUGUCCGGAAUCAUUGGGCGUAAAGGGUACGUAGGCGGGUAAGCAAGUUAGAAGUGAAAUCCUAUAGCUCAACUAUAGAAAGCUUUUAAAACUGCUCAUCUUGAGGUAUGGAAGGGAAAGUGGAAUUCCUAGUGUAGCGGUGAAAUGCGCAGAUAUUAGGAGGAAUACCGGUGGCGAAGGCGACUUUCUGGCCAUAACCUGACGCUGAGGUACGAAAGCGUGGGUAGCAAACAGG
rnacentral:rRNA from 1 species